rnacentral:rRNA from 1 species
GAUGAGCGCUGGCGGCGUGCCUAAUACAUGCAAGUCGAGCGAACGGAUUAAGAGCUUGCUCUUAUGAAGUUAGCGGCGGACGGGUGAGUAACACGUGGGUAACCUGCCCAUAAGACUGGGAUAACUCCGGGAAACCGGGGCUAAUACCGGAUAAUAUUUUGAACUGCAUGGUUCAAAAUUGAAAGGCGGCUUCGGCUGUCACUUAUGGAUGGACCCGAGUCGCAUUAGCUAGUUGGUGAGGUAACGGCUCACCAAGGCAACGAUGCGUAGCCGACCUGAGAGGGUGAUCGGCCACACUGGGACUAAGACACGGCCCAGACUCCUACGGGAGGCAGCAGUAGGGAAUCUUCCGCAAUGGACGAAAGUCUGACGGAGCAACGCCGCGUGAGUGAUGAAGGCUUUCGGGUCGUAAAACUCUGUUGUUAGGGAAGAACAAGUGCUAGUUGAAUAAGCUGGCACCUUGACGGUACCUAACCAGAAAGCCACGGCUAACUACGUGCCAGCAGCCGCAGUAA